GAGUGAACGCUGGCGGUAGGCCUAACACAUGCAAGUCGAACGGCAGCACAGUAAGAGCUUGCUCUUACGGGUGGCGAGUGGCGGACGGGUGAGGAAUACAUCGGAAUCUACUUUUUCGUGGGGGAUAACGUAGGGAAACUUACGCUAAUACCGCAUACGACCUACGGGUGAAAGCAGGGGAUCUUCGGACCUUGCGCGAUUGAAUGAGCCGAUGUCGGAUUAGCUAGUUGGCGGGGUAAAGGCCCACCAAGGCGACGAUCCGUAGCUGGUCUGAGAGGAUGAUCAGCCACACUGGAACUGAGACACGGUCCAGACUCCUACGGGAGGCAGCAGUGGGGAAUAUUGGACAAUGGGCGCAAGCCUGAUCCAGCAAUACCGCGUGGGUGAAGAAGGCCUUCGGGUUGUAAAGACCUUUUGUUGGGAAAGAAAAGCAGCAGGUUAAUACCACGCUGUUCUGACGGUACCAAAAGAAUAAGCACCGGCUAACUUCGUG
rnacentral:rRNA from 1 species